UGAGGAAUAUUGCACAAUGGGGGCAACCCUGAUGCAGCAACGCCGCGUGAACGAUGAAGGCCUUCGGGUUGUAAAGUUCUUUUCUGAGGGAAGAUAAUGACGGUACCUCAGGAAUAAGUCCCGGCUAACUACGUGCCAGCAGCCGCGGUAAAACGUAGGGGGCGAGCGUUAUCCGGAUUUAUUGGGCGUAAAGCGCACGUAGGUGGCCCUGUAAGUUGGACGUGAAAGCUCUCGGCUCAACUGAGAGAGGUCGUUCAAAACUGCAGGGCUCGAGGUUGGAAGAGGAGAGUGGAAUUCCCGGUGUAGUGGUGGAAUGCGUAGAUAUCGGGAGGAACACCAGUGGCGAAGGCGGCUCUCUGGUCCACACCUGACACUGAGGUGCGAAAGCGUGGGGAGCGAACGGGAUUAGAUACCCCCGUAGUCC
rnacentral:rRNA from 1 species